rnacentral:rRNA from 1 species
UACAGAGGUCCCAAGCGUUGUUCGGAUUCAUUGGGCGUAAAGGGUGCGUAGGCGGCGCGGUAAGUCGGGUGUGAAAUCUCGGAGCUUAACUCCGAAACUGCAUUCGAUACUGCCGUGCUUGAGGACUGGAGAGGAGACUGGAAUUUACGGUGUAGCGGUGAAAUGCGUAGAUAUCGUAAGGAAGACCAGUGGCGAAGGCGAGUCCCUGGACAACUCCUGACACUGAGGCACGAAAGCUAGGGGAGCAAACAGG